rnacentral:rRNA from 1 species
AACGAACGCUGGCGGCAUGCCUAGCACAUGCAAGUCGAACGAGACCUUCGGGUCUAGUGGCGCACGGGUGCGUCACGCGUGGGAACCUGCCCUUAGGUUCGGAAUAACUCCCCGACAGGGGUGCUAAUACAGGAUAAUGUCUUCGGACCAAAGAUUUAUCGCCCUUGGAUGGGCCCGCGUUGGUUUAGCUAGUUGGUAGGGUAAAAGCCUACCAAGGCGAGGAUCCAUAGCUGGUCAGAGAGGAUGGUCAGCCACACUGGGACUGGGACGCGGCCCAGACUCCUACAGGAGGCAGGAGUGGGGAAUAUUGGACAACGGGCGGAAGCCUGAUCCAGCUAUGCCUCGUGAGUGAUGAAGGCCUGAGGGUUGUAAAGCUCGUUUACCCGGGAUGAUAAUGACGGUACCGGGAGAAUAAGCACCGGCUAACUCCGUG